GUGCUUGCUUUAGCAGCACAUAUACUGAAAUUGGAACAAAAGAGAGAAGGUGAGCAUUGCACCGUGCAAGGAUGACAUGCUAAUUUGUGAAACAGUCUAUAAAACA
ensembl:snRNA U6 U6 spliceosomal RNA